GCCUAUGCCAUAAUGAGACAGAAUUCUCACUAGUCAAUUUUUUCUUUACACCUCGUAUACUCACAUGCAAUGAUUCACUAAAAGAAGCAACUCUAUCAAACAAAUAAAGAUCAUCAUGACCUGAUAAAGAACUGGUACCAAUCAACUUUGAAUCAUGAAAAAAGACUAAAUUUUUUAUUUUUAACAGAACAAGAAUAAUCAAAUUCUAUCUCAAUGACGGUACAACAUAAGUCUCAUUCAAAUCUAAAUAAUAACCAGUUCUUAACAAUAAUUUGAAUGUGGUAAUUGCCUUAACUUCUACUAAUUUGUCAUCGCUAACAUAAAUAAAUCUAGCAUCUUCACUUGGUUUUCAGCAACUUAAGUAACCAUGCAUAGACACAAUGAUCUGAGUUGUUGCACCAGAAUCUAUCCACCAUGUGUGUCUAAGUACUGAAGUUAAUUUGACCUUAGAACAAAUAGAGUAAAGAAAUAUAUCUUUCUUUGUAUGUCAUGUGUGAUAGUUAAUGCAUUGCUUCUUCUGCUAACUUGGAGCUUUACAAAAGAAGCAUACAUCUUCAUUUUGUACGUUCUAUUGUUUCUUCUNN
rnacentral:lncRNA from 1 species